rnacentral:rRNA from 1 species
GUGCACGCUGGCGGCAGGCCUAACACAUGCCAGUCGCGCGGCAGCGCGGGGGCAACCCUGGCGGCGAGCGGCGGACGGGUGAGGAAUUCGUCGGAAUCUGCCUUUUUGUGGGGGAUAACGUAGGGAAACUUACGCUAAUACCGCAUACGUCCUACGGGAGAAAGUGGGGGACCGCAAGGCCUCACGCAGAAAGAUGAGCCGACGACCGAUUAGCUAGUUGGUGGGGUAAAGGCCCACCAAGGCGACGAUCGGUAGCUGGUCUGAGAGGAUGAUCAGCCACACUGGGACUGAGACACGGCCCAGACUCCUACGGGAGGCAGCAGUGGGGAAUAUUGGACAAUGGGCGCAAGCCUGAUCCAGCCAUGCCGCGUGUGUGAAGAAGGCCUUCGGGUUGUAAAGCACUUUUGUCCGGAAAGAAAUCCCUGGAGCUAAUACCUUCGGGGGAUGACGGUACCGGAAGAAUAAGCACCGGCUAACUUCGUG